rfam:Oryza rufipogon genomic scaffold, chr04
AAUAAGUAUAGUUUUACACUAUUCACGUUCAACGUUUGACCGUUCAUCUUAUUUUAAAAAUUUGUAUGAUUAGUAUUUUUAUUGCUAUUAGAAGAUAAAACGUGAAUAGUACUUUAUGUGUGACUAAAUAUUUUUAAAUUUUUCAUAAAUUUUUUAAAUAAGAUGGACGGUCAAACAUUGAACACUGAUAUAUAUGGCUACACUUAUU